UCUUCUGUUGGAUUUUCUGUUUUGCAG
rnacentral:piRNA from 1 species